rnacentral:lncRNA from 1 species
GUCCACGUAGCAGGGCACCUUUCCACAUCUUUCUUUUUCAUCUCUUCUCUUUCUUUCUCCCUCAGCCACGAAGCAAAUCGGUGGAAUUGCUGAAAUUGAAGUCUAUGCUGUUGGAGCAGGGAAUUAAUUGGAGAACCUCGAAAUUAAGGUAAAUCUCUGGUUUAAUUAGGUAAUUUUAUCAGCCCUAAACAGAAUUAUAAGCCAUAAAAGUACUGUUUUAUGUGUAGGAACCGUGAGGAAAAGAGGUAAUAAGAAGAAAAUGGGAAUUCGGGCUUUGAGCUGAAAAGAAAGCUUCGAAGAGGAGUUUUGGUUAUUGGAGUUGUCACGCCCCGGGGUCCCUUUUCAGUUUAAAACAAAGCGGAAAGCGACUGAAAUUUUUUUUAUUUGAAAACCUGACCCCAGGGUAUGCCAGAUCCGCCACAAAUACAGGGAAUCCACUGUUCACACGGACAGAGUCUCCCCUAUAUUUGCACGGCGUCGAUCAAAUACACAGUACAACCAGGAUACAACCACAACCAGAUGAAUAUAAGGAUAACUAUACAUUCAUACAUACAUCAUUCACAUCACAGUUUUACAUUCAGUGUUUAAAUAGAAAAUCACGAAAAUUCUUUUGAAAACUGUUCCCUACACGGAAACCUUUAUUCUUUAAGAAACGCUACCACGAGGGGUAGAAAACUUUUUAUUUCAAGAAAUCACAAUUCCUUUAUUACAUUCCAAAACCAACUGAAAACUCAGAUAUUCAAUUAAUAAAACAAAACUGAACCAUGUAGACCGACUAAGCUAUAAAUAUCCACAGAAAUAAAAAGGGUAAUAGCUAAAUCGAAAUAACCUGGGUCGGAAGCUCUAUCGACCGCUACACACGUACCUCACGUCUCGUCCCACUACUCAACGCCCGCGAUACCUGAAAAAUGGUGGGGGAGGUGAGAACAUGUAAACAUGUCUCCCCUCCCAGUGGGUACCGCAAGCCGAAGAAGGCGAGGAGUACUCACCGGAUCAGGAAGAGAUAACCAACAGUAUGGGUAAGUAAAAUACAGUAGCAACGAUAAUGAACGAACGAGAUAUAUAUAUAUGGAAACACAACUACCGCUACUGUAAUGUACAACUACAAGCAUACCAGGGUAUCAAAACUAUAGUAGCAAGACAACUGUAAAGAAAGAACUAGAAGUACAUAUGCAACAACCGCUACUAUAGCUAUAUGCGUCAACCGGACGAGAAGUCCAAAAGUACCCAAUCUAAACCGCCGUGUCGGUCUAAGGACCUCAGGCAAAAGCCACUAUCUGCUCACACCUGGCAUGUAACCCUAGCACAAAGAGAACACCGCUGGGCUCACGGGUCGGAUGUACGACCACUUUUCCGGAAAAGAACACCCUCCUGCGGGGGAUCAACCCGCUGGUGUACGUGAAAUGCACUCGAGCUGUGGCGAUCAAUGCGGAUAUGAUCAAUAGCCAACCGUCGGCAAUCAGCCGACAAUCACUGCCCCUCUGGGCAUACCGACCGUGUAGGUCAUCAAGUAACAACGUGAACCGACCGAGAUAGGUCAAUGUACGGAAAGUAACGAACGACCAAACAGGUCACCGAUGCAAAUAGGAGAACCGACCAACCAGGUCACAAGUAUAGUAUAUACGAAUGCCAUCUACUCUACCCCUAUACAGGAUACUACACAUAGAACAACCAGGCAGAGUAAAUAAAGAUAGUAUGUAGAUACUGCUCGAUGUCAACUAAAAGUACGAACGCAAGAACCGACCGAUAGGUCACAGGAGUGUAUUCGAUAUAGUCCAGAACUACCGUCAGCACCAGCCGACAAUCCUACCCCUCAGGGUACACCGACCUCAAAGGUCAUCGAACAACAGAAGUCAACAAAUAGACCAACCCAAUACAUAAUGCAACAACCGACCAACCAGGUCAACAGAUAUAAGAUAAAAGCACCGAUCAACUAGGUCACUGAAAUGAAGUACGAGAACCGACCAAUCAGGUCACCGAGACAAAGUACGAGAACCGACCAAUCAGGUCACCGAAACGAAGUACGAGAACUGACCAAUCAGGUCACCGGUAUCACAUAAGGAUAAACUACUCUACUCCUACACAUGAUACUAAGCAUAGAAACAUAUGAGUAGAGUAUGAGAGAAACAACGGGGGUGCAAGCUCAAUAUAUAAUACGAAAAUAGCAAUAGAAGAACAGGGAUAGAAGAAAUAUCACCGAGCGUGCACCACUGUACCGACUUCGGAUCGAAGUACCCACCUGUCACUGUCGCGUCGGAACACUGGGUACGCACAAGUCGACCGGACCUACGAAGAUCCCACGGGUCAGUAACCAACCCACUCACCUGAAGUACACUGUCUCACAAACCCCACACAGAACCCCGUAUCGGUUUCCCAAAAUCGAUCAUCGUAACUCACCGAAAGUCCCGAAAACCACACCGGGACGCCGUCGGGACCCACUAAGUGUCCCGAACUCACCGACUCGUGCCACGAGUCACCUGCUGCCCCAAAACACUCCAAUUUGGAUGUUUUGGUAGUAAACACAAGAUAACACCCCUACACAAUUAUCGCCGGAUAAUUGUGCGAAUUCGGGUUCCCGGAAGUGUCUAUUUCGACACUGGAACCCACCGUCGCUCACCCAUCAUCACCGAACCCACAAUGUGAUGAUGGUGACCUGCCAACAAGGCUCAGCGACUACACAAUAGCUCACAAAGCAUCGUCGGAAUAAUUCCGAACCGAACCCGCGUUCCGUCGGCGGAUUUCGCCGAAAAACGCACCGGAAAUGCAUUUCCGAUCUUCGCAAGGGUCUGGGGCCUUGGACAAUCAGUCCAGAGGUUGUCCCCAGCCCUGACCUGCCGCCAACAACAGCUACAACAAAGCGAACGGCAUACAAGUUCCUAACGACACAUGAAAUCACAUCAUUUUAUGUGAUUUCAUGGCUCCGACUAGUCGUACAAGCAAACCAGGGAUCAACGAAGGGUGACAUCACACCUGCUGCUAGAUUUCAGCAUGCCUGAGGCCGUGCUCACCUUUCGGAGCACUGCCGGCCGCAACAGCGCGCGCACGAGCGGCGCGACGUUCAGCGAACAAGCGCGCACAGCAUGAAAAUCGACCUAAACCCGCUAACCGGGGCAUCCCUAACCCAAAUGGAGGUGAGCAUCGUGUUCAGAACGAGCCCACGAUCACCGUGCUCACCUCCCGAGGCACGGAACAGCUCAGGUCGCAGAACAGGUGAUCUAAAAAGGAACUUAGUGCGAGACAGGCUGAAAAACGCUUACCGGACUGGGUGGAGUAGGCACGGCGCGGCUGUCGGCACGGCGUGCGCUCGGCAGGGAAGGGUGCGGCUGUCCAACGGGUCGCGGAACCUGCUGGCCGGCGGGCGGGAGGCGCCGUGGCGCGGCGGAGGAGAUCAAUUCGCGCAACAGUCCUCUUCGGUUCAAGGCUUCCGGCGGCGCGCGCGGCGGCGAGGAGGUCGGGGCGACGUCGAUCCGCGCGGAGGCCGAGGGGUCAUGGUGCACCCUCCGUGGGGCGGCGUCGUGCGCGUGGCCGAGGUGGCUCGGCUCGCCCGCGCAAGGCUCUGGCGCCGCAGGGUGGCACGAGCGGCGACACGCGGCGCGCAGGACGACGGGGAGGCACGCCGGAGGUCGCCGAGGUUCCAGGAUGGCGGCGGCAGCGGGGAGCGGUGGCGGCGCGCGGAUGCAAAGAUCACCCAGACUCCGGCCUGGGUGAAAGCGGUGACCGCAGAGCUGGGGCGCUCCGGCGGCGUGCGCAGACGGUGGGGCCGGCGGCGAGGUCGCGCGGGCUCCGGGAAGGGCGUCUCGGCCGUCCCAAGUGGCGGCUGCAAAGCUACAGGGAGCUAAAGCUCCUGGGCCAGAUCUCCUAGAUCUGCCGUAGCCUGCCUAGGCGGCGGCGCAAUGCGCAGGGACGACCGGGUCCGGCGCCGGGCUUCGUCGGAGGUCCGGGCAUGGCAGGGGAUGGGGGCCGAAGGUGAUGAUCUCCCAGGUGGUCCUCGGCAGAGAAGGAGAGGUGGAUUCGGUUGAGAGAGAAAGAUGGAGGGGGUGGCCGGUUCAAGUUUUCCGGCGGCCGGGCACCUGCCAGCGUCGGGGUGAGAGCAUGGCAAGGCAGGGCUACUGCUGAGGUCGGCUAGGGCACAGAUGGGGAGCCUGGGUCGAGUAGAUCUAGGUUCCGUGCAAGAAACCACAAUGCACAUUAUACAGCAAGGUAUAAUUGCACCAAAAUCCACCGAAACUACAAAUUUCAAACCUAGUCCCUCACAGCACAAGUAAAACGCGCGAAUACCCCUCUACGUGCGAUUUCACGCGAAACGGUACAUAAAAUGUCGCGACUUUUGCGAAAUUACCGUUUUGCCAACACCGACCUCUCCUCGAUCAACGCGCGAUCUCCGCAGAUCCGUCCGUCAGAUUUGCGAACGGAUUGCACCAGUGCGAUCAGCACCUCAGAGACAACAAAGCUACACCUUCGAUUCAUCUCGAUCGACCACGGAUUCACAACAAAAUCCAACCUUUUUCCAAUAGAAGGAAACACACACACAAAUACAUAUAAAACAUGUAUUUUUGGAUUUUCUCGAAAUCCGUGCAUCAAACUCAAAAUCCGUCAGCGCCAGUAGUUCCAGAAUAGCUGAAUCCUUCGAAAUGAGCUAUUGGACUGAUAUGAACGGAGUCCGAUACGCACCAGAAGCCAACUCUACUCCGUGGCUUCUCCGGAAAACCGGAGUUACUAUUCACUUAAGUGAAAACUAAUAAUCGCGUAACUUCUCCGUUUAAGCUCAUUUUCUCCUGAAACUUGACGAGUGCUUAUGUAAUUAAAUUACACACAUAAACAUCGUCAACAGAGAGUUUAGUUGCACUGUCAAAAAUCUCAGUCCUUACAGGAGUAGUGGAGAGUAAUCUGAUAGAACUUUAAAUUAAGGUAAGCUAAGUCCAUAUUUGAUUACUAUGGAGCUAGUUACCUUAGAGAAGAGUUGUUCUCUGUUGAUAUGAAGGCUACCAAGGAAGAUAGUGAAGCAGAAUUUAAGUGGUGGGUGCUGCCGAGUUGGGGCUGCAGCUGAGGAAGACUUGAAGCAGAAUUUGUUUGGGUUGUUGAAGCUGAGAACAACCUGAAAGAAUACCUAAUUAAGGUAAGUUUGAUUAAUAUUUGCUUCUAGUCAAAUUAGUUGCUCUAGAAGUGACUUACGUAAGUGUUUCUUGGCUGUUGGAGCUGGCAGACUAGAUAUUUUUGGUCUGAUUGAGUGGCCGAGCAAGAAUCCCAGCUGUGGAAGCUUAGAAACUGAUGUAAGUGACUUGCUUCUCAAGCUAGGAUUAAUAUAAUUGCAUAAGAGAAGCUUCUAAGUGGUCCAUUUGAUAUAGGUAUACAGGAAAUUAAGGAGGGAUUUAGGGAAUUAGCAGCUUGCUAGUUGCUUGAGCUGGGAGAAGUAUCCGAGCUAGAACCUAAACUGCUGAAUCAUUGAAGUUCAAGGUAAGAAAUAGAUUUUCAGUCAGGGAUUUAUUUAACUACUCUAUGAGAGAUUUUUUUUAAGGAUUAGAAGCUUAUAGUAAAAUGUAAAAAUCCUAGAAUCCUGUUAAAAGCAAUAUAUACAUGUAUAUAGCUAAGUGUAUGUAAAGUUUAUCAAGAAUGAAAUCUGAGAUAAUUUUAGAUUGAAUCUUAAUUGAAAUUCAGUUAAUUGUAAUAGAAAGCUGUUGAUUAGGAGUUCUAUGAGUGUUUGAGCCAAUAGAAAUGCAAAACUGCAUUGAUGGAACUCCUAAUUGGAAUUCUAUAAAACUAACUUCCAUUAUAUAUAUACAAGAAAACCCCAUUUUGAGGGGCAUUCAGUUGUGUAGUCUCACAAAUUCUACUAUUUUUCAUAAACCAUGUAAUUUGCAUGAGUCCGGUUACUGUACUCUUAUAAGUAUAAAUCUUUUCGUAGUCAUAAAUUAUUUUUAUAUAAAACUUUCCAAAAUAUCCGAUAUACCAUUUUCGAUCCGGACUCUACCCGGACCCUAUUCGGACCCAAUAAAACAUAGAUAGUAUACAGGUAAAAAAAAAUAGCUAUUAAAGUUUCGGAUAUAGAUCUGGAUAUUUUAUACUCAUAUUUGAUUUGGACCGGACCCGAAUGCAACUUUUCAAUGGAUAGGAUUCGAACUAGUUUUCAAAUCCCGACACGGACCUGGACCUAAUGAAAUAUCCGAGAUAGUAAAUAAAAAAGAUUUGAACUUUUGAAGUUGAGGGAUCAAGUUUAAUAAAACUUACAGAUGAGUAGUCUCUAAGUAUUUUCAUCCUAAUGAAACAAUGAAACCGUAGCCGCUCUUUUACUUCUUUCUUUUUUUUUCUAAUUUUUUUACUAUUUGUUUUUCUUUAUCUUUAUUUUUUGGGAAAACUUCAAAUACCAUCCUUGUAGUUUCGCACUUUUUCAUUUUAAUACUCUGUAUUUUAAAGUGUAUCAAUUUAGUAUCCAGUGAUUUCGCACUUUCUCACUUUAGUACCCUGUGAUUUAAAGUAUAUCAAUUUAGUACCCUGUGGUUUCAUUUUUCUCUUUUCGUUGGCCCCUCUGUUAAUAUUUCGUUAAAUUAUAUACAAAAGACUUCAGAUACCACAGCGAGACCAACAUCGACCUAAUGAUCCAUAUUCUUAAUUUAUGCUUUAUCUACACAGUUCAAAAUGUGGUUUUACUUAAGUAUUAAUUAAUCAUGCAAAAUAUAUACUCUUAUUAUAAUUUUAUUGAAAAAUGUUGGCAUACUUGGAUGAGUUUUUCAUUGCAUGACCAGGGUAUUAUUUCUGAAGUUUCUUUGUGGUUAAAUCUUUUGAUGAUUGGAAAAAUGAUAUAAAGUCUAAAACGAUCAUCAAUUAGUUGCAUUUUAAUUACUACACAUAUGUAAACUUUCAAUUUAGGAAUUAUAUAAAUUCCUAUCUUAAAAUCUUAGUAGAAUUAUUUAUUUGUCUCUUUUAUGUGAAUUUUUUUACAAAACUUUUCGUGUUGCAUGUCUUUAUAUUAAUUUGGACAGUGACUAUACGAGUAUUAUAAUAUAAUCCCUGCAAUAUUUAAUAUUUGAUAGUGCUCUGGUCAAGGAUUUAAGUGGCGUGGUACGGGAUCAUGUUGAAGACUUGUCGGUACGGUACGGCACGAUGCGUGCCGAGCCGUACCGAUGCGUGCCGGUCAAAAAAAUUCUUGUAUUCCGACGCAUAAUAGUAUGAAAUAUUUAUUUUCUUUAGUAACAAAAUAUUCUAACUAUUUAUUAUGUUGUUUUAUAAUAUCUUUUGAACUUUAUUGAGAAAAGUACUUACUAAUUAAAGAAUAGAGGGUUUUGAGUUGUGUCAUCGCCACGGGGUCUGUAUCGUAUGGUUAGUUAAUUCGCGAAUUAUUCGCGAAUUAUUUGCGACUUUUUGGAAAUCCGAAUUAAACGGCCAUUUUCGAAUUUUUGGAAAAAAUUCGGAAAAAAGGGAAUUUUUUGACAAAAAAUACGUGUUCGCGUAUUAUACGGCAGGCCGAAUUAUUCGGCCCAAAAAAACGGACCAAGCCCGCAGCCCGCAACCCGCGCGCCUGCCCGCGCCGUCCGCGCCUGCCCGGGCUCCCGCAUGGCUCUUGGGCCGGUUGGCCCAAAACAGUAAAAUACAAAGAAAAUAAAUAAAAAUCUUUCCAAAUACAUCGCCUAGAUCAAAAAAAAAAAUUUCUUUUCGAAUUUUUACUUAAUUAGCUUAAUUUUAUAGCUAUUUAUUCUUAUAUUUUUAAAAGAUAUGAAUAUUUAUGCUAAUAGCAUAAAUCUUGAGAGAAAAAAAUUUAAUUUAAUAGCCGGAUUUUUUAUCCCGAAUUUUUAAUUAGUAAACGUAUAAUAUCCGUAUAAAUCACGUAUCCGAAUAAUUGAUAAAUCCGUUUUUUAGCCGUAUUUUUCAACGAAUUUAAAAAUUCGAAGACGAAUUUUAUCCGAAUUUUACCGGUACCGAAUUUUUGCCGAAUCCGAAUUAACUAACUAUGCUAUAUCGUGCCGGCAUUUUGUUGGCACUGUACGACACGGUAGAUAUGGCCCGCGCCGACGGACACUUAAAACCUUGGCUCUGGUGAUAGAGCAUUCGUAUCGACAAUAGACACAAUUGAACUUGAUAUAAGCUCUUUUGAACUCUCUAGGGUCCGAAUUUCACGCGUGUUAAUUACAUGAUCUCAAAAUUCACCACUUAACACUACUUGAUCACUAAUGAUUCAAAUUAUGUAAUCAUAUUUAAUGGUGCUAAUCAUCAAUUCAGAAACUCUUUUGUUGAAAACCUUUCGUUGAAAACACUGUGGAUGUAUAAUUGUGCAAGGUGAGGCAACUUAAUUAGUUCAAGUAUAUUAAGAAACCAUAAGAUCAUGAGCUCACAAUAUUUAUCUAAUUCCCUCAUUACAUACUUUUCUUUUCUGAGCACAGAAAUUCAUGGCCCAAUGGGCCUUCUCUUAAUUGGCAGGCCCUUAGGAAAGCCCAAGAAAGGAAAAGAGACUGGGAAGUCAUGUUCAGCCAGCUCCCAGUGAAAUCUCUGGACAAGGUGGUGGAGGAAGACUGCCAUCUCUAGUUUCCCAAACUCCGCCC